CAACAAAUCAAUUGAAAAGACUAAGAUAAUUUGUCAGAUACUUUGCUAAAUAUUCUAUUUGUAGGCUUGCUUUCAUCUACCAGUCUAAUUACCUCAUCAGAAAAGGAAGCAAGGUGAAUCUGUCAUGACCUGCUCUUGACUGAGCCAUGUUGUCUCUGUGGUCACUGCUUCUAGAUGCUCACAUCUCUUUCCUCUAAUAAGCCAUUCUAGAAUUUUUGCCAGGAAUUGAAGUCAAACUCACUGGCCUUCAGUUGGCAGGUUCUACUCUGUUCUCUUUUGAAGCCAAGGAUGUUUGCCCUUCUCCAGUGCUGGGGUCCUUCUCACAUUUUCUAUAUUCUUUCAAGGUACAGUGUUGUUGGCUCAGUAAUGACACCUGCCCCCAGUUCUUUCAGAAGGGCAGUUUUGUGUAGUGAAUAAGGCUCUUUACCUCCCAGAUCCUCUUUUCCCCAUCUGUAUAAGAAUAAUAAUUCUCAUUCAACUCAACUCACUGAAUUUUGAGGAAAGUGUUUUUCAAAUCUCAAAAUGUGAUAGAAAUUUGAGUUAUUUUAUUGUUAUCAUACAUUCAAUUCAGUCAGAGCAUUUAUUGAGCACCCACUGUAUGCUAGCCACAUGCCACGUGCUGAGGAUACAAAGAUAGAACCAUAUUGACCCCUGUCUGCACGAAGCUUGUGUUUUAAAUGGGAAACACUGUGAACACAGUGAAAUAAACUUAAAGUGAAUACAAAAUAAUUUGGAGAGGGGAGAAGGUAGGCUAGACCCAUGUAUAUGCUCAGUGGCAUUGGAGCAAAGCCAUGGAAGACAUGGGGGAUUCUAAGAAGCACAGAUGGAAAGAGGGCAUGUCAGGCAGGUAUGGGUGAUAAUAGCCUGAAUACAGGUAUGAAGACUAGAUAUGGAAUAUUAGGUGUGAGCACAAAGAGGCCAGUUUGCAUGGAACAUGAUGAAGGUGCUUCAAGUCUAGAAAAAUGUUCUGGAGUCCAAUUUUCACGGGCUUCAAGUGUCAAACUGGGAAGCGUGGUUUAUUAAUUAACUAGUCAGUUAAUUAAAUCAUUUAUUUAUUUAGCUGCCUAUUUAGUCAUUCAUUUAUUCAGCUAUUCAUUCACUGAUUCAUCUAUUUAAUCGUUCACUUGUUUAUUUGUUCUGUUUAUGUAUUCAUUCCUUUGUUCACAAUAUAUUCCUCUCUCUCUGUCUCUCUCUCUCUCAUCCCCCCACCCUCUCUCUCUCUGUCUGUCUCUGUCUGUCUCUCUCUCCUCCCCCUCUAUCUCUCUGUCAUCUAUCUUGGAGGUAAUUGGGAGCCGCUGGAGCUUCCUAAGUAAGAAAGACCAUGUUUGGAUCUGAGGAUCAAAUGAAAAUACAGGUGAUAAACACUUCUCCCUCCUCCCAAGUAUUCCCAAGGCUCAGAUCUUGCCAAGAUUUGGAAACAGGAUAAUUCAUGCCGCCAUUAUUACAUCUGGCUGCCAUAACAUCUGGCUACAUUGGCCCAUUGGGACACUCAAGUUCCUCUGGCUAUGCUGGCCUAGGUCCCAGGACCAGUGCAGGAAGUUUGGACCAGGAUACAUCCAAGGAUGAUGGCUCCUUUCCACAUAAAAAGGGGUAUCUCUUGAAUGGAUAUCUUCACCUUCUUCUAAGAAGUAUCCCUGGACUGGUCAAAGACGAAAUGACUUCUUCAGGGGCCUCAUAGUUUCCCAAAGUGAAAGUCCUGCCCAAGUUUGGUUUCCCCAAAACAUUUACUCUUACCUUGGAUGUAAUGUAAAGGCCAGUUUUGAUUGGCCAAGGCAAUCACUUGAUUGAUUUGAUGCUAAUUUAUUUCUUGGUUAAAUAUUUGUUGAAUAAACAUUGAUUGAGUUGGUUCUUUGUUUAUAAUCCAA